UUACAGAGCAACCUGCCACUGUGGAGG
rnacentral:sRNA from 1 species